AUAUCACUAAGCGGAGGAAAAGAAAUUAACUAAGAUUGCCUCAGUAACGGCGAGUGAAGCGGCAAAAGCCCAAACUGGAAAUCCCCCGUGCAUCCGCGCGGUGAAUUGUAAUCUAGAGGACUUAAUCUCAAUUGGGAGUGACGCAGAACUCCCCAGGAACGGGGGGCCAGAGAGGGUGACAGCCCCGUAUGUGGUGUCACUCCCUAACGAGAUGGGUUCCAGGAGUCGGGUUGUUUUGAAUUGCAGCCCUAAUGUGGGGGAUAGACUUCCUCCAAGGCUAAAUAUUUAUGGGAGACCGAUAGCGCACAAGUA
rnacentral:rRNA from 1 species